GCCAGGCGUGGUGGCUCACGCCUGUAAUCCUAGCAUUUUGGGAGGCUGAGGUGGGAGGAUCACUUGAGGUCAGGAGUUUGAGGCCAGCCUGGCCAACAUGGUGAAAUCCCGUCUCUA
rnacentral:SRP_RNA from 1 species